rnacentral:lncRNA from 1 species
AUUCCUGUGUUAUUAGAGCAAUGUGUGAUAGUGCAGUGUCUUACUGAAACAACAAUGGUCUUCCAUUGCAUACACUGUCUAUUCAAGACUUAACAAUUGUUUCCAGGACCUCAAUGUAGGCGGCAGAGUUAACUCUAAGGCCUUGUGGAAAGAAGUAAGGAGUCAUCACAUGUCCUUCAUUGCUGACAACCCCUAAAACCAUGACAGUUGCAGGAAAUUUUGUAUGCAUAACACUUGGAACUUCAGAAGGGUCAGCACAUAACCAUCUGACAUUUCUUCUUGUAACUUUUUGAUCUUGGUUGAAGUUUUUCUCGUUUGAGGAAAAUCAAAUCAAAUCUGCUGGAUUUUUCUGUUUGUUGAAGAGCCUUUUAGAUAUGAUGUAAUGAUUUUCUUUAGCUUUUUCUGACAAAUUGACCUUUCCUCAUAUCUAAAGUCUUCGUGGGCAACAUUUCUGACUGUUCCUUCUGACACAUCGAGAUCUUUUGCAAUUAACCUCAUGGAUUUCUGAAAUUUUAAUCAAUGGUCUGUUGAACUUGCUGGGUAGAUUCAGUGUUCUGAUGAUUCCAGAGUGUUUAGAAUGCGCUUUUAUACUUUGAUACUGGCGAUACGUUUCCAUCUUCAGUCUCUAGCUCCUUACAAACUUUGUAAACGAAAGAUCUGACAACUUUUAAAAAUCCAGAUAUUUCUAAAUCGCUAUGAUCGGCCUUUAUAACCGCAAUAACAGCAUGCCUCUUCAUUUCUUGAGUAAGCUGAGGGUCUGAAACAAACAUUAUACAUAGUUAGGAAAAAUGCAGCAAUAUGUAUGUGUGCAUGUAUGUAUGUAUGUAUGUAUGUAUGUAUGUAUGUAUGUAUGUAUGUAUGUAUGUAUGUAUGUAUGUAUGUAUGUAUGUAUGCAUGUAUGUAUGUAUAUAUGUAUGUAUGUAUGUAUGUGUAUGUCUGUUUGUGUGGUGCAAGUGUGUGCACACCUUUCAGUAUAUACUUUUUGACUAUAUUAAUACAAUUAAAUUUCCAGUAUCGUCGUUUAGGUAUUGCGAAAGCCAUUAAAUAUAAAACGUAAUAUGCAAAUAUCUCUCAGACCCAGACAAGACCUCUUACCAUCAGCGUUUACUCAUGAUAUUAUAGUGUGAUGCAAAUAGAAUCAAAAUUCUUUCUUCCUUUUAUAGAAUCAUCUAUCUUACUUUUAAAACAGUUUUGCUUUCAUUUUCUUCGUGGUAAUUAAAAUAACCGAGUAUCCUUUUUUCGUUUUCUCUUAUAAAUUUCUGAGACUCUGGAAAAAGGUCGUAGGCGCUACCCCUGUUUCUUGUAACCAAACCAUUAAAACAAAUAGGGAACAUAAUCAGAUAAUGCAACAGUCAUUGCCAAAAUACGAUUAUCACACGUACAAUCGUAACGGAACACCCACAGCAGAUUUGAACUCGAGAACUGUUAGUUGAUAGUCGUACACUUUAUCAACACCGGCGUUUCAUCAUUCAACGUAGUGAUGCUGAAAGCGCAAUAUCUACAUCACAUUAUUAACAGGAUACAGUAGCAGAAGAGCAGAAAGUUAUUAGUCCUGAGUCGAUGAAGUCAAGCUGGGGUCAUCGGGUAAAAAAGAAGUUUACGAGACAUUGGCUUCCAGCCAAAUGGUGGGAAAACGAUAUUUACUUGGUAUUUGAGUUCAGUUUCAGACGAAGUGAUUCCAUCCGUCCAUUCAUCUUCUUCUCCUGCUAUUCCUAGGAGGGUUGUGGAGGAAAAUUCCUUGGGCACCUCCUCCAUAGGGUCCAAUGAAAAGCGAAGUCUGAACAUGUUAAUUCAGAGAGGGUUUUGUAUUGUCUGAAAAUGUUAAUUUAGAGGGGGUUUAUAAACUGUCUAAAAGCUUUUUAGAUUAGACUAUAUGACAGUGUUGAAAUAAAGAUCCGAGAUGGUUGACCCCACGUAGAAACUACUGGAGCUCUUCAGAGGUUUUGGAAACUAUUGUAAAUCCAUUGCAGUUUUGGAAACCUUUCCGUGUCGUCAGGAGGUAUCUAUAUUAAGGAAAUACCCAAUAAAAUGCAUAUUUCUUGGAUCUGUUUUAUACCAUAAUACUGAAGUUACGGAACCAGCUCAGCGGUUUAUUUCAAGGAUUACAGAUCAUGUCUAAAUCGUACUUACGGCCAGUGAACAAUAACAAAAUUAAUAACACAAGAAAUAAUCCGUAUUACUAUCUUAUUUUCCCCUUUUAGUGUUGGUGAAGUGAGAAGUAAAUAUCUUGAGUUCGAGUUGACACGAACCCAACCACCCCAACACGUGAACGCACUCAUAUGCACACAUACAAACGCAUACAAGCAGUGGGGUAAUUACCCUUAGGCCCUCCCAUAUACACGCAUUCAUAUAGACAUUCAUGCAUGCAUACAUACAUACAUGCAGAAACACACACAAAUGCACAGUUAUACACACGCAUGUGUGUCCGCAUGAGAGAGUAAUUAUACACACGCAUAUAUAUAUCCGUAUGUAUAUAACGUAUAUUAUAUAUGCGUGUGUGUGUAUGUGUGUGUAUAUGCAUACAUACGUAAAUAUAUAUGUAUAUUCAUAUAUAUAUGCAUAUAUAUAUAUAUAUAUAUAUAUAUAUAUAUAUAUAUAUAUAUAUAUAUAUAUAUAUAUAUAUAUAUAUAUAUAUAUAUAUAUAUAUAUAUAUAUAUAUAAUAUAUAUAUAUAUAUAUAUAUGUUCAGAGGAAUAUGGUACUUAAGUUGAGGCACCAGAAUUUAGUACGGUAUUAUCCAUACAAUUUCAAAAUAAGGUGAUUAAAAUCAAAAUAAGCAACAAGGAUAUCCACAGGUAAUGCAUUACCUCUGGAUAUCCUUGUGGCUUAUUUUGAUUUAUAUCUAUUUAUAUACAAAUUAUAUAUAUGUGUGUGUAUGUAUAUAUAUAUAAUUGUAUAUAUAUAUAUAUAUAUAUUCAGAUGAAUAUGGUACUUAUGUUGUGUAUGUAUGUAUGUAUGUAUGUAUGUAUGUAUGUAUGUAUGUGUGUAUGUAUGUAUGUGUGUAUGUGUAUGUAUGCAUACAUGUAUGUACAGAGUGGCCCAGAAUCCAAUUUACCAUUGAAAACAUUUGUGUUACACAUUCAAUGGUAGAGCGAAUUUUGGGCCAACCUGUAUAUUUAUGUAUUUAUAUAUUGAUUGGUUUAUGUAUAUAUUUUUUGUUCUUUCUCUCUGACCAAGUAAACCAGUAUAAACGAGCAAACAGCCUCAUCAGACAUUCUCAUUGAAUAGAGAGUGGUCGGGUCCAGUCAGUGGUUCUCUCUGCAUUCUCUGAACAGCAGCAAAAGGAAAGGAGAGUGGAACGGUAUGGGUGAGCAGCGGUGUUGCUUGUACUGCUGGUAUUCUAUCGGAUGAGUUGAUUCCGACUGCAGUUUCCGAAAAAAAAAAUAGUCUUACAUGCUGGUUUAGACACACACACACACACACACACACACACACACACACACACACACACACACACACACAUGCAUACGCAUUAUGUGAGGUCUGGGCUUACGUCGAACAAAAACCUAGUUUCGAUAUCUAAAUUUAGUUAAUUAUUGUAUUGACAUUCCUCUGUAAACCAACCAGCAACGAGCGUCCCAGUUAUCAACUUUUUGUUGCUUUCCUAUUAACAUAUUUAAUUAAUGAUGAAUAUUUUCACUACUUAUGGGUACAAAAUGAUAUACAUGUAUACACAUAUACGUACAUACAUACAUGCUCACACACACACACACACACACACACACACACAUAUAUAUAUAUAUAUAUAAUAUAUAUAUAUAUAUCUAUUUCUGUUAUAUAUAUUUAUAUAUAUAUAUAUAUAUAUAUAUAUAUAUAUAUAUAUAUAUAUAUAUAUAUAUAUAUAUAUAUAGUUAUAUAUAUAUAUGUAUAUAUUUAUAUUUAUAUAUAUAUUUAUAUAUAUAUAUAUAUAUAUAUAUAUAUAUAUAUAUAUAUAUAUAUAUAUAUAUAUAUAUGUAUGUAUUAUAUAUAUAUAUAUAUAUAUAUAUAUAUAUAUAUAUAUAUUUAUAUAUGUAUGUAUGUAUUUAAAGGGUAGUAGAUACAGAUUUACAAACGCACGUUCAUAUUUACGCACAUACACACACGCAUACACAACACGCAUACCAAUGUCUGAUAAGAGCUAUCGGAAGCUCGUUGAGCGGGAAAAUAAUCUUCUUCGUAUGGUGCACAAAAUUCGCAGAUACACCUGAACACACAUAAAUAGGCGCAACUAUUUACACGUUGUCCACAAACUCGAAUGAGCGACAAAGGCAAUAGACAAGAAAUAGUGCGUGCGAGGAAAGAGUUAAUGGCUUAUUCACUGCUUGCAUAUUUCGGGUGAAUGACCCAUUUCCCCUCGACAAAGGAGAGCAGUAACGAAUUUUUUAACGAACCAGAAAUUACCAUAAGGAAACACAGCGAUUUCUGGGUUAUAAUAAUUUGUUACUGAAUUCCUCUGCUUUCUUAUAACGCAAUGCUUCAGGUGAAUCUCGUUGCUCUUCAUACAUACAUUUAUUAUGGUUGUUCCAUCUUCAUAGGAAAUUGUAGGCGGCUUCUGAUUUAUCUUCGUCAACGGUAGCUGGCAGAAACGUUAGCACGUCGGGCGAAAUGCAUAGAGGUAUUUCAUCUGCCGUUACGUUGUGAGUUCAAAUUCCGCCGAGGUCGACUUUGCCUUUCAUCCUUUCGGGGUCGAUAAAUUAAGUACCAGUUACGCACUGGGGUCGAUGUAAUCGACUUAAUACCUAUGUCUGUCCGUGUUUGUUCCCUCUAUGUUUAGCCCCUUGUGGGUAAUAAAGAAAUAGGUAUUUCUGAUUUUCCGGCCAUGACCUCUCGGACGACUAUUCAAUUACACUGCCUCGUACCUGUGCGUUUCCAGCUGAUUAGAUCGGUAAACGUCAUCACAGUUUCAUUGUGCUGGACGUUUAGUAGAUGGAAUGAUAAAUGACAAAGGCGGCGAGCUGGCAGAAACGUUAGCACGCCGGGCGAAAUGCUUAGAGGUAUUUCGUCUGCCGCUACGUUCCGAGUUCAAAUUCUGCCGAGGUCGACUUAGCCUUUCAUUCUUUCGGGGUCGAUAAAUUAAGUACCAGUUAUGCACUGGGGUCGAUGUAAUCGACUUAAUACCUAUGUCUGUCCUUGUUUGUCCCCUCUGUGUUUAGCUCCUUGUGGGUAAUAAAGAAAUAGGUAUUUCGUCUGCCGCUACGUUCCGAGUUCAAAUUCUGCCGAGGUCGACUUAGCCUUUCAUUCUUUCGGGCUCGAUAAAUUAAGCACCAGUUAUGCACUGGGGUCGAUGUAAUCGACUUAAUACCUAUGUCUGUCCUUGUUUGUCCCCUCUGUGUUUAGCCCCUUGUGGGUAAUAAAGAAAUAGGUAUUUCGUCUCCCGCUACGUUCCGAGUUCAAAUUCUGUCGCGGUCGACUUAGCCUUUCAUUCUUUCGGGGUCGAUAAAUAAAAGUACCAGUUAUGCACUGGGGUCGAUGUAAUCGACUUAAUCCGUUUGUCUGUCCUUGUUUGUCCCCUCUGUGUGUAGCCCCUUGUGGACAGUAAAGAAAUGGGUAUUUCGGCAGUCUUUAUGUUCUGAGUUCAAAUUCCGCCGAGGUCGACUUUACCUUUCAUCCUUUCGGGGUCAAUAAUUUAAGUACCAAUUACGCACUGGGGUCGAUGUAAUCGGCUUAAUCACUUUGUCUGUCCUUGUUUGUCCCCUCUAUGUUUAGCCCCUUGUGGGCAAUAAAGAAAUAGAAAUGAUAAAUGACAAAUAAGCCCUCGAUAAAAACACACCUGUAUAUCAUUGGAUUAUAAUGAGAAACGCUUGUACAACAUGAGUAACAGUUUCUGAGGCUACGUGGUUCGUACCUAGUGAUAAAUCGAUGCGAGAUGACCUGAAAUCAUGUGAACCUACAGGUUUUGCAUUAGAGUGUCCUUCUUCUAGAAGGUUGCUAUGACAACAGCUUAGAGCCCCUUACUUCCUGAGGUUCAUAUUUACAUGCUGAUUAAUCAAUAGCUUAGAAAUUGGUAGGACUAUUACACCGAGGCAGAGUUGAGAUAAGAACAAUAUAGGCUAAAGUGGGGGUUUCAGUCUUCGAAUUCCAGGAAUCCCGAAUUAGGGCUCCACUAUCAGAGGCAGUUUAAAGUGAUAACCAGGACAAUAUAUAUGUAUGUAUGUAUGUAUGUAUGUAUGUAUGUAUGUAUGUAUGUAUGUAUGUAUAUAUGUAUGUAUGUAUGUAUGUAUGUAUGUAUGUAUGAAUGUAUGUAUGUAUGUAUGUAUGCAUGCAUGCAUGCAUGCAUGUAUGUAUGCAUGUAUGCAUGCAUGCAUGCAUGUAUGUAUGUAUGUAUGUAUGAAUGUAUGUAUGUAUGUAUGUAUGUAUGAAUGUAUGUAUGUAUGUAUGCAUGCAUGCAUGCAUGUAUGUAUGUAUGUAUGUAUGUAUGAAUGUAUGUAUGUGUGUAUGUAUGCAUGCAUGCAUGCAUGCAUGUAUGUAUGUAUGUAUGUAUGUAUGUAUGUAUGCAUGCAUGCAUGUAUGUAUGUAGGUAUGUAUGUAUGUAUGCAUGCAUGCAUGCAUGUAUGUGUGUAUGUAUGUAUGUAUGUAUGCAUGCAUGCAUGUAUGUAUGUAGGUAUGUAUGUAUGUAUGUAUGCAUGCAUGCAUGCAUGUAUGUGUGUAUGUAUGCAUGCAUGCAUGCAUACAUGUACGUAUGUAUGUACCUAUGCUCUUACGUACGUACGUACAUAUAUAUGUAUGUAUGUAUGCAUGUAUGCAUGCAUGUAUGUAUGUAUGUACGUAUGUAUGUGUGUAUGCAUGUAUGUAUGUAUGUACGUAUGUAUGUAUGUAUGCAUGCAUGCAUGUAUGUAUGUAUGUACGUAUGUGUAUAUGCAUGUAUGUAUAUGUUUAUCUGUGAGGGUGUAUGGCCAAGCGGUUCGGAUGUUGCACUGACCAUCGCGAGUCCGUAGUUUCAAGUUGUGCCCUGGGUGGUGCGUUGUGCUCUUGCGCAAAACACUUCAUCCCACGUUGCUGUGCGACGACUUCGACACCUGAUGUGCAGCACGUCGUGCACCUGUUCAAGAAAUGUCGAUUUGAUGGCGGCACUGAGCUACUGAACAGCACAGACAUUUGAUCACUCUGAACAAAUCGUUUGUGUCAGAGGUCGUUCAGCUAGAAAUGGCAAAACAGUCUUUCUCAGUCUACGAGAGACUACCAUUGUGUGUGCGUAUAUAUAUAUAUAUAUACAUGUAAGUCAGGGUGCAAUAUGUGCCCGUUUGCUUGAAAGAAGAAUAAAACUCUCCAAAACCACGUAUCUUUCACUAUAUGUAAACAUGCACGGAGAAUGUAGCAAAUACAUUUAGAAAAACGGUUCUUCCAGUUUGUAAAUCUGCAAAGAGGAGGAUAGAUAUCUCCGAAUCAAUUGAUUUCACAAUCUGUGUCGAAUUGACACUUAAAGCUCAUCAGCAAGGCUUACUGCGCAAAUAGUUUUUUUAAAAAUACAUUUACCUUUCCGUGCGCAUUUGAUACUAGGAUAUGUACCUCCUGUUUGUAGGUUUACAAACUGGAAGAACCGUUUUUCUAAAUGUAUUUGAGACAUUCCCCGUACAUGUUUACAUAUGGUGAGAGAUAUGUGGUUUUGGAGGUUUAUUUUUCUUUCAAGCAAACUAGUACAUAUUAUAUCCUGACUUUUAAUAUAUAUUUGGAUUAUGUUUGUUUAAAGAUGGUGUUAACUUAGGUACAUAUAUGUAUAUCUAUCUAUCUAUCUAUCUAUCUAUCUAUCUAUCUAUCUAUCUAUCUAUCUAUCUAUCUAACUGUCUGUCUGUCUGUCUCUCUCUCUCUCUCUCUCUCUCUAUCUAUCUAUCUAUAUAUAUAUAUAUAUAUAUAUAUACAUUAUGGCUGGCCCCUCGUUAUCGAAAGUGGCCAUUGCACGAAGCUUAACUGUUACUGGUGCUGUGAUCGAAUGUGACUUUUUAGCCCAGCUAAAGAUCUACAAUGUCUUGUACAAAAUUGUCAACUAAAACCUUUACUGGUAAUAUCCAUACAUACAUACAUACAUACAUACAUACAUACAUACAUACAUACAUACAUACAUACAUACAUAUCGUUGCUAUUGUGCAAACGUGUUGUAAGUCCAAAACGUUGCUUUUUCAGAAAACGAAAAAAUAGUUUCACUACUCCAUUUCUUUUUAUAUUAUUAUCAACAGUUUCAGCUUAACAAUAAUAAAAUCGUUUGUCCCUGCAUAAAUGCUAUUUUCUGUCAGAAAUAUUUUAACAUAACUGUCGUGUGUGGGACUUACUAUACUUCUGAGUAAUGCUAAACUGCUGUACUACGCUUUGACAAUCUUCAUAUCUUAGCAUCUGAAGCAGCUGGAGAUACGAUAGUUUGACCAAAAGAACCGGCUAUUGCAAGCAAAAUUAAAUAUUGAAAAAAAAAAAAAAGAAAAGAAACGUGGACAUACGACAUUUUAACAUAAUAGCAACGCAAUGCAUAUAAAUAUGUAAACUGGGUUGAAAUCCUCUUGAAGCAUCUAUCUCUCUCUCUCUCUCUCUCUCUCUCUCUCUCUCUCUCUCUCUGUAUAUAUAUAUAUAUAUAUUAACAUAUUUAUCUUGGACCUGAUGAGUGACUAUAUUUAAAUUGAAUUGAUUUUACUGUCAUCCGCUUGAAUAUAUAGCCACGAAACACGUAUAGUCUUUUUACUAAUUAUAUACUAUUUAUUUCUUAUUUUGUACUUUACUUAAUUACAGGUAUAUUUUUUAUCGUGUAUUUAAUUUUUUCUAUAUAUUAUGAUUUAAUUAUAUCAUUGUUGAAUUGUUACAUGAUGGUUCUAGUCUAAUUUAUACACGCACACACACACACACAUAUAUAUAUAUAUAUAUAUAUCACGUGAUCACGUGACCGACCAGACCAUCAGAUGUUGUUACACAUCGCUGGUCACAAUGCGUUCGCAUUGUUUUAGCCUAAUGACGCCACCCCGCUAAGCGAGCAGGCCGACAGAAGAAAGAGUGGGAGAAAGAGUGGUGAAAGAGUACAGCAGGGAUCACCCCCUGCCGGAGCUUCGUGGAUUUUAUGUUUUCGCUCAUAUCUGGGAAUCGAAACCGUAUCCUGCGACCGCGAGUCCGCUGCCCUAUAGGCCAUUGCGCCUCCAUAUAUAUAUAUAUAUAUAUAUAUAUAUAUAUAUAUAUAUAUAUAUAUAUAUAUAUAUAUAUAUAUAUAUAUAUACAUAUAUACAUGUAAAUGUAUGCAUAUAUGUAUAUAUAUAAGGGGAGUCUGAAUGCAUAUACAUAUAUAAGCACAUGCAUACAUGUAUACACACAUAAAUAUUCAUUUUUACAAGGAAAUUUCGGCUUAGCAGCCGUCAUUAGUCUAUGGCUUAUUUUGGGUGGAGUAAUAUGAAUUGGAAUUAAAUGUAGGUUGUCAGUGGAAAUGGUUGUGUAGGAAGGAAGAAAUGGAGAAGUCUAAGAGAAAAGUAUGUGCUUGCAAGGCGUGGGUUAAGUGAAACGGAUGGUGGAAACAACUGUUCUGGUACGAUAGGGGAAUGUUAUUAUUGUUUAGUGCUCAGUCAGGCGUGAAAAGAAAUAAGUAAACAGAUGUGUCGUAGUCAGGUAACAAUUCGUAUUGGAGUUUUCUUGUGACUGAUUAUAAUUCUUUGUAUAUAAGGUUAGUUUUGUGCUAUUUUAGAAUUCACAGACAAAUGUUCCUAGAUAAUACUAGAUCGAUGCAUAGGUUCAAUAAAAAUCGAAGUGUUGACGUUUGUAGUUUUCUUUUAAAAAAUCAUGAGUUUGGUAUUGUUAAAAAGGGUUUGGAUUAAGAUUAUAUUAUUAUAUAAAACGAGCAAAACGUGACCCGUCCAAUGGACGGUGCUGAAUUGUCAAACAUUUAAACCAAAUUUUCUCAAGACAACUUGUCCGACCGUUCCAUAGGCCUCUCCUUUGAGAAACACUGAUUUAACCUAAAUUUGAGACACCAGCAAAAGUAGAAAUAAAGAUAGAUUUUUUUUCUAUUCCAAAGAAAAAUGAUUUCCCACGGCUUUAUCGAUCGCAUUCUCACCUGGUAUCGAUUUUUGUAAUUUUUUCGAGACUUAUGCACGCCCUGAUACCGUCGGUAUCUGCAUAUCAAAUUUGAGCGCAAUCAGAUGGAGGAUGCCCGAAAUCUUAAAAGCGCCCCACACACACAGAACGGACAUUAUAUAAGAGAUAUUGUGGUAUUCUGAUAUACUUUAUAUAGAUACAUAGAUACAUAGAAGCAUACAUAGAUACAUGUACAUAAUAUAUCUCUCCUCGCCCCUCUAAUCUUCUCUUCACUCUUGAUAUCAAGAGUUUAUAUACGGUGAUCCCACACAACGAAGGACUUCUUGCUCUGAAACACUUCCUAGACCUUCGACCCAACCCCCAACCUAAAACUUCUACACGUCUUCGUCUUUCCGAACUUAUUCUCUGACUCAAUUGCUUCUCGUUCGUGGGGGAGUUUUACCAAUAUUUCUAGGGAUUGGCCAUGGGAACGAGAAUGGGCCCCGACUAAUCGAACCUGUUCGUUGGCUACUUCGAAGUCCAAAUAUUUUCAAGAUUCACUGGUCCCACUCCCGAACUAUACGGUCGUUAUGUUGAUGACUGUAUCGGUGUGACCUCGCCCUCCUGCGAACAACUGGACUUCUUCCUCUCUUUUGUCCAAUCCUUCCCUCCUGCCCUCGAAAUACUCCUGCGCCAUUUCCAACACUUUCGUCGCCUUUCUCGACAUUUCGGUCAUCAUACACAACUCCGCUCUCACUACACCACUAAAAACACACCGACUCAGACACAUACUUCAACUUCUCCUCCUCCCACCCUACCCACACCAAUCUCUACCUCCCCUACUCUCAGUCCCUACGUCUGCCCAGGCUCUGCAUUGACAACCAUGUCUUUGAGACUGUCUCAACUCGUGGCUCGCAACUUCAUCCUUUGUGAAGCUUCCCUCACCACUAUCCACACCGCCCUUGCCAGAGCAUGUUCCAUGGACCGUGUCUCUGCUCUCUCUCUCUCCUCGCAUGCGCCCCACCGUUGCCUGUCUUCUGUUUCCCUUCACCUACCACCCGUCCAGCCUGCCCCUCCAACGCACCAUUCUCCGAGCCUUCCGGCGACUUCAGUCCGACCCCUCCACUUCGCACAUCUUCCCCAACCUACCCCUUCCCUCCUUCAAACGAACCCACAACCUACAUGACGUCCUGGUCGGCAGUUUCUUGGGCUCACCAGUACUUUAUUAUCUUCCCUUCUUCCUAUCUCUCCUGUCCAACUAACUUUUUCCAACCAGUCGCCACGAUUGACCGCUAAAUCCUUAAGUUUUUUUUUUGUAUUUUCUCUCUGUUUAUUUCAUCGUGUUCUUUUCUGUUGAAGAGCGUAGGCUCGAAACGUAAAAGACUUUCUCACCUUCUCGAGCAUCAAACUAAUACACCCGCUUGUUGGUUAUACACCUGUCUUCUUCUUUUGUUUUUCUGUAAAUUAUAUAUAUAUAUAUAUACAUAAGCAAUAAGAUUAUCCAGAGGUAAUGCAGUACGAUCGUUUCCAUCAACUCCAUUUAAUUGAACAAUGCAAUCAUUACAUCAAUUUAAAUGCAGAGCAAUCCUCAGCUGCAUACCUUAGUGGCUUCUAAAACUGAAGUGAAAAUAACAUCAUGUUCUUUGUCUAUCUCCUUAACUUCUUGGUAUAAUUAUACUAAUGUGUCCAUCUGUUUUGAUUUAAUUAAAUUGUCUUUAUGCAGCUGAGAAUUGUUCUGCAUUUAAAUUAAUGUAAUGAUUUCAUUGUUCAAUUAAAUGGAGUUGCUUGAAACGAUCGAACUGCAUUACCUCUAGAUAUCCUUGUUGCUUAUUUCGAUUUUAAUCACCUUAUUUUUGAAAUUGUAUGGAUAAUACUGUACUAAAUUCUGGUGCCUCAACUUAAGUACCAUAUUCAUCUCAAUCUCUCUCUCUCUCUCUCUCUCUCUCUCCCUAUAUAUAUAUAUAUAUAUAUAUAUAUAUAUAUAUAUAUAUAUAUAUAUAUAUAUGUAUGAAUGUGUAUAUAUAUAUAUAUACAUAUAUAUAUACAUAUAUACAUAUAUAUAUAUAUACACAUAUAUAUAUAUAUACAUAUAUGUGUAUAUAUAUAUAUAUAUAUAUAUAUAUAUAUGUAUGUAUCUACACACACACACACACACACACACAUAUAUAUAUAUAUAUAUAUAUAUAUAUAUAUAUAUAUAUAGAUAGAUAUAUAUAUAUAUAUCAUAUAUAUAUCGUGACUCGUGACGUGAAAUGGGUUCUCUAUAAAAAUGUCAAGCGCCGAAGACAGUGGGCAGGAAAAGGAGAAACAACGGCACCCCAGGCUAAAGAAGGUCUUCACCUACGUAAGGUGUUGUUAUCUGUUUGGUGGGAUAUGAAAGGUUUAGUUUACUUUGAACUUUUAAACCGAAAUUAAACGAUAACGGAGAUCUACUGUGAGCAGUUUGAGCGACUUAGAUCAAUGCUAGAAGAAAAACUACCAUCUUUGGUUUCAAGACGAAAGGUGUUCUUCCAUCAGGAUGAUGCUCGGCCGCAUACUGCAAAGAAGACAUUCCAAAGGCUGGAGCAGUUCGAAUAGGAAACGAUGCCCUACUCACCACAUUUACCGGAGAUUGUUCCAUCUGAUUAUCCUUUAUUCGGUAGUCUUCAGAAUCAUUUGGACGGAAAAAUAUGAAUUCUGUAGACUGAAGGAAACGGUACACACACACACGCACACAUAUACACACAUAUAUGUAUAAAAUGGGUAUGCGUGUGUGAUAGUUGCAUAAAUAUAUGAGUGUGUGCAUGUGUGCCUGCGAGUGUGUGCGUGGGGGGAGGGGGUAAUUAUGUAGAGAACAGCUUUUUCUUCAAACCUUUUAUUAAAAGCGCAACUAUUUUCACGUUUGAUCUCUUUAUUAACGAUUAUUCUUAUUUGCUUUUCAUGUUUGGGUCGAAACAAUAACGUUGCUAAAUCCACGACGUCUGACAUUUCGACACUUCCGCGAUCUCAUUUUCAAAAAUAAACUGCAACCGUUUAAAGAAGACGCAUGCGCAUUGCCCUCCUAGCAUCACAUGGAAAGAACGUUUAGAUCUGCGUGUAUUUAUGAUACCGUUAAGACGGACCAAUCCAAUAACCUACCUAUAGUCUUGCAAAUCAAUAAGCCCACGUAUUGAAAAACCAAAGUAUUUAUGAGAUGGAGACGCUAUAUAUAACCAUGAGAGGAAUUUCUUGAAAUUCUGCAGGGAAAUCACAGAUAUGCAAAAUCCUUUCACUAAUUUCACAGAAACGGAAACAGAGAACAUAGAAUUGGUUUCAAAUUUUAGCACAAUGCCAGUGAUUUCGGGGGUAAGUCAAUUACAUCGAACUGGUACAUGUUUUAUCGACCCUGAAAGUCGACCUCAGCGGAAUUUGAACCCAGAGCGUAAAGACGGAGGAAAUGUUGCCAUGAAUUUUGUCCGGCGUGCCAACGACUCUGGCAGCUCGGUGCCUUAAACUGUAAAUAUAAUAUUGGACAACGCGUACACAAAUCAUGCUUUAAAGACACCUGUUGUUCUCAGUUACGAAGACCUUUCUGUUGACCUACAUAAUUUGAUUUCCUUUCCGCUGUCCAUAGGUAAUCAAUACGGACGCUGUCGAUAGGUAAUCAAUAUGGGCGCAGGUGUGGCGGUAUAGUAAGAAGCUUGCUUCCCACCCACAUGAUUCCGGGUUUUGUCCCUUGGGUAAGUGUCUUCUACUGUAGCCUCGAGUCAAUCAAAGCCAUGUCAGUGAAUUUGGUAGACGGAAGGCGGAAGAAGCCCGUCGUAUGUGUGUGUGUGCAUUUGUGUUUGUGUGUGUGUGUGUGUGUGUGUGUGUGUGUGUGUGUGUGCAUUUGUGCUUGUGUGUGUGUGUGUGUGUGUGUGUGUGUGUGUGCAUUUGUGUUUGUGUGUGUGUGUGUGCGUGUCUGUUUUUGUCCCCCUCCACGCACCAUCACUUGACAACCGAUGCUGGUGUGUUUAUGUUCCCGUAACUUAGCGAUUCGGCAAAAUAGACCGAUAGAAUAAGUAGUAGGCUUACAAAGAAUAAUUCCUGGGGUCGAUUUCUUCGACUAACACUCUUUAAGGCUGUGCUCCAGCAUGGCCGCAGUCAAAUGACUAAAACAAUAAAAAAAUAAAUAAAAAGAUUAAAAUAAUAGACUCAGGCGGGGCGAUGUAGUUCUAGGUUCUCUCCUCGGACCCAUAUCUGUGGAAUUUUAGGAGGAAAAUGUGGAAAAUAAGCUACAAGAAUGAUCACAUGAUCUACGCGAUUUAUUUUCAUGAUAUAUUCAUAAUGACAGACAUUGCUGAACAGUUUCAUAGAUAUAAAGAUCGUGAAAAUAAAUUCUAUCCACAUUUCUGAUAUAAGCAUCUCUCUCAUUCCUAAUGUGAACGCUUCCUUAAGAAACAAACACGAGGUUCCUGUGUUUAGAUAAAGUACGGAAAAAUAUUUAUAUAUGCUCGGUGGUUGUGACUGCUCUCACAGAUACGGAAUACCAAUGGUAAAAAUUCUUGCGUUGUGCGUUUAAAUAUUCUUUUAUACUCUAAGCACAAGGCCCGAAAUGUUUUGGGGAACGGAGCCAGUCGAUUACAUUGACCCCAGUGCGUAACUGGUACUUAUUUAAUCGACCCCGAAAGGAUGAAAAGCAAAAUAGACCUCGCCUGAAUAUGAACUCAGAACGUAACGGCAGACGAUGUACCUAUUUCUUUACUACCCACAAGGGGCUAAACACAGAGAAGACAAACAAGGACAGACAAACGGAUUAAGUCGAUUAUAUCGACCCCAGUGCGUAACUGGUACUUAUUUAAUCGACCCCGAAAGGUUGAAAGGCAAAGUCGACCUCGACGGAAUUUGAACUCAGAACGUAACGGUAGACGAAAUACGGCUACGCAUUUCGCCCGGCGUGCUAACGUUUCAGCCAGCUCACCGCCUGAGAGCGUUUAAAUAUUAGUCCAACGUAGGUGCAGACAUGUGGUUUAUGAGUUCAAUUCCAGUGCGCGGCAUACUAAGUAACUUACUCAGGCCGACCAAUAUCUUGUGAGUGACUUUAGUAAACGGAAACUGUUUGGAAGCUCGUCGUAUCAUAUAUAUAUACGUUCUUUUAUUCCUUUAACAUGUAUGUGCGGCUAUGCAGGAGCAGCGCCUUUUGAUCGAACAGAUCGACCCCAGGACUUAUUAAGUCUGGUACUUAUUCUACCGGACUUUUUUGCCAUACCGCUAAGUUACGGGUACACACACACAUACAUGUAUAUAUAUAUAUAUAUAUAUAUAUAUAUAUAUAUAUAUAUAUAUGCAUAUAUAUAUGCAUAUAUAUAUAUAUAUAUAUAUAUAUAUAUAUAUAUAUGCAUAUAUAUAUAUAUAUAUAUAUAUAUAUAUAUAUAUAAUAUAUAUAUAUAUAUAUAUAUAUAUAUAUAUAUAUAUAUAUAUAUAUAUAUAUAUAUAUAUAUAUAUAUAUAUAUAUAUAUAUAUAUAUAUAUAUCAUACAUAUAUAUAUAUUUAUAUUGGAGUUAGCUCGCCCAUAGCAACCUAUAUCUUUUUGAAACGGCCGUAAGAUGUUAUACAUAGACUUUAAACAUGUUUCAGACCCCUUAUUAAUCAGCUAUCACCCGCUUCAUCAUCCUUUUCAUUCGGACUUCGCAAGUGCAUUUAUGGACUUAAACUUUUUUUUAUACAUUUACAUUUAUGAAUUUUUAUGCGUUUGUAAAUUUUUAUGUGUAUGAAUUUUUAUAUAUUCAUAAAUUUUCGCGUAUAUGUAUGUAUUUGUAAAUUCUUAGAACCUUUUUAUAUAUCAUAUAGAUGAAUGCAUCAAUGUAUACACAUUGUAUACCAUUGAGAACUUCGUUGAUAUGGAUUGAAUAAAUAUAUACAUCGGUCUUUGAAUUUGGUUUCUCCUCUCCUUAAUUUUGUAUCCCUGAAGCUCUAUCAGAGCGCUACUCGGUUGAGCUGUAUAAAGUGGAUAUCUAUAUCACUUUCAUUUUUCAAUCUGUUUUGGUUUUGAAUUAAAUUCAUAUGUUAACUCAUUCACAAUUCUGGAACGUUCCCCUUGUUUUAUAAUAAUCUCUAUCCUCUUCCUCUCUCGCCUGCACUCUCUGACUUCGCCUUCUUUUCUUUCUCCUUGUUUUCUUAUCUCUUGGGCGUAUCUAUUUAUCAAUCCAUUUAUAUAUUCAUUUCACGGUAUCAACUUCUUUAUAUAUUGUUAUUUAUCUCUUUUAUGGUUCUCCAACUUAACCUUCCUUUCUUUUCUUUUUGCUCCUGUUUUUCUCUCUUAAAUUUUCUUCUCACUCUUCUUUCCCCUAUAAUCUAUAUUUUUUCUUUUUGUCUCUCCCUUUUUCUUGUUUCUAACCCCUCUUUAUCAGGUAGUUGUUUUCUCUCCAUUCCUUCUCAAAAUACUUAUCAUUUACCCAAUUCCACCAGUACUAGACAUUAGUUCUUUCUUAAACAUUGUAAUGUGUUCCUUGACGAACACUCAACGCACAGUUCCAAACAAUGGUGAAACUUGUGCUUCUAGCGAUUUCUUCUUUAUUGAUUCUGCAAGUCAUAAGUAUAAUAGUUGUUUGACCACUAUACUGGAAGCAGAGUGGACGAUGGCAAUCUACGUGGAGCCGGAAACUGAACUGUAACAGUCGUACUGCUAUUUCUACACCCAAAAUGCAAACAGAUACAAACGCACAAGUGUACAUGUGUGGGCGUGCACAUAUGUGCAUGAAUUUAGUAACUGAUAUAUUCAGUCAAUGAAAUUGAUUUAUUUCACACAUUUGUAUUUAAUCCUGUCAUAUAAGAUUAGACUUAAAAUACAUUUAGGUUUUAAGUAUAGAUGGAAAAAGAUAAGUUAUGAUAUACCUAUCAUUUUCAAACAGUGAUAUGAUAUCAUCUGCAAGAUACAUACAUACAUACAUACAUACAUACAUACAUACAUACAUACAUACAUACAUACAUACAUACAUACAUACAUACAUACAUACAGACAGACAGACAGACAGACAGACAUCAUCAUCAUCAUUGUUCGACCGUGGUCGAUUCAAUGGAAUUUACUAUGUUACGCCAGACUUCACGGUCCAUCAUAGCAUUACGGAGGUCCUGUUGCUGGAUGCCUGUAUCCUUGGAGAUUACAUCAGGGUAGGAGAGUGUGCGCCCUCUGGUAUCGCGAGCAGAUGGCUUCCAGAGGAGAAGAGUAGAAAUUACCUCGUUUUCAGCUCUACAACAAUGUCCAGCAAACUGGACUCUUCUACUUUUCACAAGAGAUGAUACAGGUGGUAGUUUCCCAUAUAUUUGUACUUUGGUUGGAUGACGCUUCCACGAGAGAUUUUGAGCUCUCAUAAAGAAGCGAGUGUAAGUUCCAUCCAACCGCCUCUCAAGCUUCUUUGACAACGUCCAGGUUUCUGAGCCAUAUAGUAUAAUUGGUUCGACUAUGGCUUUGAAGAUUUUAAGUUUGAAAUCUCUAUUUAGAUUUGAAAUCCUUAAGUUCUAUGGGAUUCCAGACAAAAUCAUCUCUGCCAUCAAGGUCCUCUACACAGAUACGUCUUCAACCAUCUUAACCCCUGAUGGGGAAACAUCAU